rnacentral:rRNA from 1 species
GAUGAACGCUGGCGGCGUGCUUAACACAUGCAAGUCGAACGGAAAGGCUCCUGCUUGCAGGGGUACUCGAGUGGCGAACGGGUGAGUAACACGUGGGUGAUCUGCCCUGUACUUCGGGAUAAGCUUGGGAAACUGGGUCUAAUACCGGAUAGGACAACUUUUUGGAUAUUGUUGUGGAAAGCUUUUGCGGUAUGGGAUGAGCUCGCGGCCUAUCAGCUUGUUGGUGGGGUAAUGGCCUACCAAGGCGUCGACGGGUAGCCGGCCUGAGAGGGUGUACGGCGACAUUGGGACUGAGAUACGGCCCAGACUCCUACGGGAGGCAGCAGUGGGGAAUAUUGCACAAUGGGCGCAAGCCUGAUGCAGCGACGCCGCGUGGGGGAUGAAGGCCUUCGGGUUGUAAACUCCUUUCGCUAGGGACGAAGCUUUUUUGUGACGGUACCUGGAGAAGAAGCACCGGCUAACUACGUG